rnacentral:lncRNA from 1 species
GGAAAUUCUGAUCUCACCUCCCUAGAAGAGACUGGUAUGUGUGGAAUCAAUUGGCUGUAUUGGGAACUUGAAGGCUUGUGGGUGGAACAGAAGCAGAACUCUGGGAGACAAACACAGGUGGAAAAUAGCCUGGUAGACAUGGAUUGGGGGACAGCAGACCCCGCCCUGAAACCACCAGAUAGGACAUGAAUUAUUAAGGAGAACCCUGGAGACUGCAGAACCAUGACAAGCAGCAGCAAGCAGGCGUCUGAUGUGGCACUGCAGUUUAUGUUAGCACGGGCCCAUAGGCAGCUGCUUCAGGAACAUCACCGAUCCCAGAUCCAAGCGGAGCUGAGCUGCUUGUGAAAGGACAAGGAAACAGCAGCAGACCAGGCCCCAGACCUAUCUGCUGAGAGCCCAAGGUGGUGGCAGGAUCACGCAGCACUGGUCUUACAAAUGGAGGCACUGAGAGUGGAACGAGAUGCAGCUGAACGGGACUUAGAGGCCCUGUAUGAGUUACACGUGCAAGGAGCCCGGGCCCAGACCUACCACAUGGUGCAGGUGUUCCGGGCUUGCCGGAGGCUGUGGAAGGAGCAGGCUGCUGCCAGGGAGUUCCAUCACCGAGUCCUGUUGGCUGGAGUCUUACAGGAUGUUGUCUCACUGGCCACGCAGAACCAACAACUCCAACUCCAGAACAAGCAACUUCGGCAGGAAAGCACAGAGAGGAGAAAAAAAGUUUAAGCUCUGGCCAUCAGCCCUGACACCUUUUCCUUAAAGUAAAGGUAUUCAGAACAGACCCCAGAGUCAUACCUGUUCUGCAGGAGUCAAAUAAAAAUAUUUACUGAUCCUGAC